rnacentral:rRNA from 1 species
GAUGAACGCUGGCGGCGUGCCUAAUACAUGCAAGUCGAGCGAAAGGACGCGAAGCUUGUUUUUCUGAUGUUAGCGGAGGACGGGAGAGUAACACGUGGAUAACCUACUUAUAAGACUGGGAUCAUUUCGGGAAACCGGAGCUAAUACCGGAUAAUAUUUUGAACCGCAUGGUUCAAAAGUGAAAGACGGUCUUGCUGUCACUUAUAGCUGGAUCCGCGCUGCAUUAGCUAGUUGGUAAGGUCACGGCUUACCAAGGCAACGAUGCAUAGCCGACCUGAGGGGGUGAUCGGCCACACUGGAACUGGGACACGGUCCAUGCUCCUGCGAGAGGCAGCAGUAGGGAAUCGUCCGCAAUGGGCGGAAGCCUGACGGAGCGACGCCGCGUGAGUGAUGAAGGUCUUCGGAUCGUAAUGCUGUGUUAUUAGGGAAGAACAGAUGUGGAAGUAACUGUGCACAUCUUGACGGUACCUAGUCAGAAAGCCACGGCUAACUACGUG